rnacentral:rRNA from 1 species
CUUGACAUAAUAAACAUAGGGGGUCCUGCCUGCCCAGUGACUGAAAAGUUAAACGGCCGCGGUAUCUUGACCGUGCGAAGGUAGCAUAAUCAUUUGUCUCCUAAAUAGAGACUGGUAUGAAUGSCAAGACGGAGCUCCACUGUCUCCUCCUCUUUAAUCUGAACUUCMCAUUCCCGUGAAGAGGCGGGAAUUAGUUCGUAAGACGAGAAGACCCUGUCGAGCUGUAGUUAAACUUUAAUUGUUACUCACCCUUAGGCCUAACUAAUAAUAUUAAAGAUAGUAGMCCUUAAGGUAUASCAAGUUAAAMCAAGCUUUGAUUGGGSCAAUCCCGGAGAAAGAAAAUCCUCCGUUACUAUAUGGUUAUAUUUAAUCUAAAAUAAAAGAAUUAUUAUUCUUAAAGCAUAAAAAKGAAGACGKGAUCCACUUMCAGUGAUCAAAAGAMCAAG